rnacentral:snRNA from 1 species
CCCACAUCGGCUGGUGAAAAGAAUCGAAUAGGUAGCAGUAUCUGUUCUUAUCAGUUUAAUAUCUGAUACGUGAGCAAUUGGUCCACAUGAUAUUAAUUUUAUUUUUAUAGGGAGAUGGCCCAUUACAGUUGUUUUCUACUUGGGUCUUCGUGCUUCUCCUUUGCGUUUCACUACUUCUCGGGCCUGUUUACCCCUU